rnacentral:rRNA from 1 species
UACGUAUGGUGCAAGCGUUAUCCGGAUUUACUGGGUGUAAAGGGAGCGCAGGCGGUACGGCAAGUCUGAUGUGAAAGCCCGGGGCUCAACCCCGGUACUGCAUUGGAAACUGUCGGACUAGAGUGUCGGAGGGGUAAGUGGAAUUCCUAGUGUAGCGGUGAAAUGCGUAGAUAUUAGGAGGAACACCAGUGGCGAAGGCGGCUUACUGGACGAUUACUGACGCUGAGGCUCGAAAGCGUGGGGAG